rnacentral:lncRNA from 1 species
CCCUCCUCCUUUCUCUAAUUUUGUUUUCCGACUGAGUUGACCAUCGAAGGGCCCUCUACCAGACAUACUCCGACAAGUGGACUUGUUUACAAGUACUGGCCAAAGAUCUCAUAUUGAAGACCAAUCCCUUCCUCUAGAUCGAUUGUGGUCUGAUUGGAAGCCUACAACAACAAUAAAUAUAAAAAAAUAUAUAUCAUGCUAUUUUUUAUUU